GUUAUAAACACUUACUAUAAAAAGCAAUUUAAUUGGAACAAUACAGAGAAGAUUAGCAUGGCCCACGCGCAAGGAUGACACUCACAUUUGUAAAGCAUUCUAUAUUUUU